rnacentral:sRNA from 1 species
UUGAAGCCCCUCUGUCCCCAGGACCUAGGGAGGAGGCCCAGGUCCCAGGGGCAGCAGCCAAACUCCCCAGGCCAAAACCCCAGAUUCUAACUCUUCUUAGAUGGCCCUAAUGGCUUCCCUGGAUGCAGAGAAGGCCCAAGGACAAAAGAAAGUGGAGGAGCUUGAGGAAGAGAUCACUACAUUAAACCAUAAGCUUCAGGACGCCUCUGCAGAGGUGGAGCGACUGAGAAGAGAAAACCAGGUCUUAAGCGUGAGAAUCGCGGACAAGAAGUACUACUCCAGCUCCCAGGACUCCAGCUCCGCUGCAGCGCCCCAGCUCCUGAUUGUGCUGCUGGGCCUCAGCGCUCUGCUGCAGUGAGAUCCCAGGAAGCUGGCACAUCUUGGAAGGUCCGUCCUGCUCGGCUUUUCGCUUGAACAUUCCCUUGAUCUCAUCAGUUCUGAGCGGGUCAUGGGGCAACA